rnacentral:rRNA from 1 species
CGUCCGUCGUGAAGAGGGAAACAACCCAGACCGCCAGCUAAGGUCCCAAAGUCAUGGUUAAGUGGGAAACGAUGUGGGAAGGCCCAGACAGCCAGGAUGUUGGCUUAGAAGCAGCCAUCAUUUAAAGAAAGCGUAAUAGCUCACUGGUCGAGUCGGCCUGCGCGGAAGAUGUAACGGGGCUAAACCAUGCACCGAAGCUGCGGCAGCGACGCUGAUGCGUUGUUGGGUAGGGGAGCGUUCUGUAAGCCUGUGAAGGUGUGCUGUGAGGCAUGCUGGAGGUAUCAGAAGUGCGAAUGCUGACAUAAGUAACGAUAAAGCGGGUGAAAAGCCCGCUCGCCGGAAGACCAAGGGUUCCUGUCCAACGUUAAUCGGGGCAGGGUGAGUCGACCCCUAAGGCGAGGCCGAAAGGCGUAGUCGAUGGGAAACAGGUUAAUAUUCCUGUACUUGGUGUUACUGCGAAGGGGGGACGGAGAAGGCUAUGUUGGCCGGGCGACGGUUGUCCCGGUUUAAGCGUGUAGGCUGGUUUUCCAGGCAAAUCCGGAAAAUCAAGGCUGAGGCGUGAUGACGAGGCACUACGGUGCUGAAGCAACAAAUGCCCUGCUUCCAGGAAAAGCCUCUAAGCAUCAGGUAACAUCAAAUCGUACCCCAAACCGACACAGGUGGUCAGGUAGAGAAUACCAAGGCGCUUGAGAGAACUCGGGUGAAGGAACUAGGCAAAAUGGUGCCGUAACUUCGGGAGAAGGCACGCUGAUAUGUAGGUGAAGUCCCUCGCGGAUGGAGCUGAAAUCAGUCGAAGAUACCAGCUGGCUGCAACUGUUUAUUAAAAACACAGCACUGUGCAAACACGAAAGUGGACGUAUACGGUGUGACGCCUGCCCGGUGC